CGCGUCUCGGUUCAGAAAUCAGAACCCUCAACCAAAACCCGAAACGAGCACCCCACGCAGCAAUGGCCUCUAGAACGCUAUCCUUCUCCUCGCUGGCCUCCGCCUUCGCCCCCUUCCCCGCAUGCUCCAGACCCCGGCACCCUCCCCUCCGCCUCCUCGGCCUCCACCUCAGCUCCGGGCAUCUCCUCCGCGCCUCCACCCUCUCCACCGCCGCUGCCCCUGCCCCUGAUGCGGACGCGGACGCCGACCCCUACGAGGGCGUCGACACCGUCGAGCAUCUCCUCGCCCCAAAGCCCACCUCCCCGGUCGGCGUACGCAUGGGCCGGCUCAUGAAGAUGCAGCGCCGCGCCGACGCCGACGGCCCGGCGGCGGGGCGGGGCAGGUGGUUCCCUUACCUGGACGCGUUCCGGGGGGCGGGGGGCGUGGAGGUGACCAGCCAGGAGGUGGUGGACGUGCUGGAGCCGUACAUCCUCGAGCCGCGGCGGGACCGGAUCCGCCGCGCCGUCCAGAGCAGGAGCUACGCCGUCUGCCUGGUCGUGGAGGGCCUCACCGACUUUGGUAACGUCUCCGCGGCGUUCCGCUCCGCCGACGCGCUCGGCGUGCAGUCCGUGCACGUCAUCUCCUGCGAGGACAACAAAAGGUAUAGAGAUAACAGGCACGUGAGUAUGGGUGCCGAGAAAUGGCUGGACAUCGAGCUAUGGAGCUCACCUGCAGAAUGUUUUGAUGCUUUGAAAAAGCGUGGUUAUCGCAUUGCAUGUACUAGUUUGGGAAGUGAUUCGGUUUCUGUGUAUGACAUGGAUUGGUCUCAUCCAACGGCUAUCGUUGUGGGCAAUGAGACUAUGGGUAUUAGCGACGUCGCUCUGAAGUUGUCGGACAUGCACUGUAGUGUUCCAAUGAAAGGCAUGGUGGAUUCUUUUAAUGUAUCUGUUGCAGCUGGAAUCCUUAUGCACCAUGCUGUUUAUGAUAGAGUUUCCCGCCUUGGUCAGAAUGGUGAUCUCACGCCUGAAGAAAAUAGAAUAUUGCUGGCAGAGUUCUAUCUGCGUCAUCGAGAGAGCACAGCUACCGUCAUUCAUGAAUAUGCCAAAAGGAAGGCAAAUAAUUUGGUGGCCAAACUUUGAGAUCGCAGUGACUGCUGAAGAAACAUGUGCAAGCUAGUUUGUGCCUUUUGAUUUGCUCUUUUUGUUUGAACCAUCUGGUCAUAUCAUCACUAUUAUCAAAUAUUAAAAGGUUAUUUCUGAAAAAGGAACGAUCAUACUGCUCGGCAAUCAGGGUGCUGCAAUAUGCUGAUUCCAAACAGAAUCAAGGGACAGGACUUUGGUGUCUUUGGUGAUGCAGCCUAUUGCUCAAACCUAAAGCACUACGAUGUACUCUACAUGAUUUGGCUUGCCAAUUUUUUUUGGGUCACAGCAGUGGCGGAGCCAGGAUCAUAGAUGAGGGAGCCCAAAUGGCUCAAACUUUUGAUAACAGGGGCCAAAUCACACUAAUACAUGUUUUUCCCUUAAAUUUGAGAGAUUGAAACAUUAAACAAGCAUAUACUCCCUCCAUAACUUAAUAUAAGACGUUUUCUGACACAAGUA